UACAUGUGGGGCAAGCGUUGUUCGGAAUUACUGGGCAUAAAGGGUGCGUAGGCGGCGCGUCAAGUCACUGGUGAAAGUUUGCGGCCCAACCGUAAAAUUGCCGGCGAUACAGGCGUGCUCGAGUGCGUGAGGGGUUGGGGGAACGAGUGGUGUAGCGGUGAAAUGCGCAGAUAUCAGGAGGAACACCGGUGGCGAAGGCGGGUCUCUGGGCCGAUACUGACGCUGAGGAGCGAAAGCGUGGGGAGCGAACAGG
rnacentral:rRNA from 1 species